UACGUAGGGACCGAGCGUUGUCCGGAAUCAUUGGGCGUAAAGAGCGUGUAGGCGGCCUGUUAAGUCUUGCGUGAAAUCUCGGGGCUCAACCCCGAGCGGUCGUGAGAAACUGGCAGGCUAGAGUGCGGGAGAGGAGAGUGGAAUUCCUGGUGUAGCGGUGAAAUGCGCAGAUAUCAGGAAGAACACCAGUGGCGAAGGCGGCCGACUGGGCCGAUCCUGACGCUGAGACCCGAAAGCUAGGGUAGCGAACCGG
rnacentral:rRNA from 1 species